AGCGGUGGAGCAUGUGGUUUAAUUCGAAGCAACGCGAAGAACUUACCAGGUCUUGACAUCCUCUGACAACCCUAGAGAUAGGGCUUCUCUUCGGGAGCAGAGUGACAGGUGGUGCAUGGUUGUCGUCAGCUCGUGUCGUGAGAUGUUGGGUUAAGUCCCGCAACGAGCGCAACCCUUGAUCUUAGUUGCCAUCAUUAAGUUGGGCACUCUAAGGUGACUGCGGUGACAAACCGGAGGAAGGUGGGGAUGACGUCAAAUCAUCAUGCCCCUUAUGACCUGGGCUACACACGUGCUACAAUGGACGGUACAAAGAGCUGCAAGACCGCGAGGUGGAGCUAAUCUCAUAAAACCGUUCUCAGUUCGGAUUGUA
rnacentral:rRNA from 1 species